rnacentral:rRNA from 1 species
AACGAACGCUGGCGGCAUGGCUAAGACAUGCAAGUCGUACGGGCCGCAGUAGCAAUAUUGCGGUCAGUGGCGAAAGGGAGAGUAAUACAUGGGUAACGUACCCUGGACACCGGGAUAACCACGGGCUUCGGCCCUUUAGCGAAAGUGUGGAUAAUACCGGAUGACAUCGCGGAGUCGCAUGGCUCUGCGAUCAAAGUCGGGGACCUUCGGGCCUGGCGGUCUGGGAGCGGCCCAUGUCCUAUCAGCUUGUUGGUGAGGUAACGGCUCACCAAGGCUUCGACGGGUAGCGGGUGUGAGAGCAUGACCCGCCUCAUCGGAACUGAGACACUGUCCGGACACCUACGGGUGGCUGCAGUAACGAAUAUUGGGCAAUGGCGCAAGCCUGACCCAGCAAUGCCGCGUGCAGGAGGAAGCCCUUCGGGGUGUAAAGCUGCUGUCAGGACCCAGCAAGCAACGC